ensembl:snoRNA SNORA63 Small nucleolar RNA SNORA63
AAGCAGGAUACAGACUACAGUAUAGCUGUUAAGUGCUGUACUGUAUCUCCUCCUGCUCAAAACAAAGUUGUUUCCUAACUAUACCAGUCUGCUAUACUACUGUAGCAGAUAGGGAUACUUGAUCUCAUGCAC